AUCGUAGAUCAGCAUGCUACGGUGAAUACGUUCCCGGGUCUUGUACACACCGCCCGUCACACCACGAGAGUUUGUAACACCCGAAGCCGGUGGAGUAACCAUUUGGAGCUAGCCGUCGAAGGUGGGACAAAUGAUUGGGGUGAAGUCGUAACAAGGUAGCCGUAUCGGAAGGUGCGGCUGGAUCACCUCCUUUCUAAGGA
rnacentral:rRNA from 1 species